GACGAACGCUGGCGGCGUGCCUAAUACAUGCAAGUCGAACGAACCGCGACUAAGUGCUUGCACUACGUCAAGGUGAGUGGCGAACGGGUGAGUAAAACGUGGGUAACCUACCUCAUAGUGGGGGAUAACAGACGGAAACGACUGCUAAUACCGCAUAGGACAUAGGAUCACAUGAUCCGGUGAGGAAAGGUGGCGCAAGCUAUCGCGAGGAGAUUGAGCCGCGGUGCAUUAGCUAGUUGGUAGGGUAAAGGCCUACCAAGGCGAUGAUGCAUAGCCGACCUGAGAGGGGGAUCGGCCACAUUAGGACUGGGACACGGCCCAAACUCCUGCGGGAGGCAGCAGUAGGGAAUCUUACGCAGUGGUCGGAAGUCUUACGGAACAACGCCGCGUGAGUGAAGGAGGUCUUCGGAUCGUAAAGCUCUGUUGUUAGUGAAGAACAGCGCAUGGAGUAACUGCUGUGCGUGUGACGGUAUCUAACCAGAAAGCCACGGCUAACUACGUG
rnacentral:rRNA from 1 species